rnacentral:lncRNA from 1 species
GAGGUUUGAUUUGGAUGAGUCAAAGGUAAGAAUUUACAUAUAAUUUUCUGCUAAUACUAUAUAAGACAUAUGAAUAAAAGGAUUCUCAACUAUUCCCCAAAAUUGUAGUUUGCUGGUAGUUCGACCAAAUAUAAUGACAAAAAUCAAGGAGAGAAAAACCAUCAAUUUCAGCUCAAUGUUGGUGAUCAACUCCAUGCACGCACAAGUAUUACAUGUAUCUACAUAAUUCCUACAUACAUAUCUACAAACUUCAAGAAUUCCUAAUCCCUUUUUCACUAUGUUUUGC